GAUGAACGCUAGCGGCAGGCUUAACACAUGCAAGUCGAGGGGUAACAGGGAAAAGCUUGCUUUUUGCUAACGACCGGCGAACGGGUGCGUAACGCGUAUAGAAUCUGCCUUGUACAGGAGGAUAGCCUUUAGAAAUGAAGAUUAAUACUCCAUAAUGUAGAGUAGUGGCAUCGCUAUUUUAUUAAAGAUUUAUUGGUACAAGAUGACUAUGCGUCCUAUUAGCUAGAUGGUAAGGUAACGGCUUACCAUGGCGACGAUAGGUAGGGGGUCUGAGAGGAUUAUCCCCCACACUGGUACUGAGACACGGACCAGACUCCUACGGGAGGCAGCAGUGAGGAAUAUUGGUCAAUGGAGGCAACUCUGAACCAGCCAUGCCGCGUGCAGGAAGACUGCCCUAUGGGUUGUAAACUGCUUUUAUACAGGAAGAAACAGAACUACGUGUAGUUCCUUGACGGUACUGUAAGAAUAAGCACCGGCUAACUCCGUG
rnacentral:rRNA from 1 species